rnacentral:tRNA from 1 species
GGCGGCGUGGUGUAAUGGAUAACACAUUAGUCCGGUCUAAUGAAGAUGCUGGUUCGCUCCCAGCCGCCGAAU